CACCUUUGGCAGUGAUUACAGCUGUGAGUCUUUCUGGUGACAUCAAUAAGAGAUGAUUUCACCUGGAUUCAACGGGUCAGUCUAUGUCAUGGAAAGGGCUUUAUUCCCAUCAUUUGAAAUGACUCACACAGUAUUUCCUUCGUCUCUCUCUCGCUCUCCACAUGAAAGGGCCCAACCAUCCAUGAGAGGAGGAGGGGAGAGGAAGAGAGAGAGAAGUAGGGGGAGGAGAGGAGAGGGAGAGGAGAGGGAGAGGGAGAGGAGAGGGAGAGGGAGAGAGGGAGAGGGAGAGAGAAUGGAGAGAGGGAGAGAGAAUGGAGAGGAUAGGAGAAGGGGAGGAGAGGAGAGGAGAAGGGGAGGAGAAGAGGAGGGGAGAGUAAGAGAGAGAAGUAGAGGAGAGGAGAAGUAGAAGGUAGGAGAGAGAAGUAGAUGAGAGGAGAGGAGAAGUAGAAGGUAGGAGAGAGAAGUAGAUGAGAGGAGAGGAGAAGUAGAAGGUAGGAGAGAGAAGUAGAUGAGAGGAGAGGAGAAGUAGAAGGUAGGAGAGAGAAGUAGAUGAGAGGAGAGGAGAAGUAGAAGGUAGGAGAGAGAAGUAGAUGAGAGGAGAGGAGAAGUAGAAGGUAGGAGAGAGAAGUAGAUGAGAGGAGAGGAGAAGUAGAAGGUAGGAGAGAGAAGUAGAUGAGAGGAGAGAGAAGUAGAUGAGAGGAGAAGUAGAAGGUAGGAGAGAGAAGUAGAAGGUAGGAGAGAGAAGUAGAUGAGAGGAGAAGUAGAAGGUAGGAGAGAGAAGUAGAUGAGAGGAGAAGUAGAAGGUAGGAGAGAGAAGUAGAUGAGAGGAGAAGAGAGGAGAGGAGAGAGAAGUAGAGGGGAAAGGAAGAGAGAAGUAGAGGAGAGGAGAGAGAGAAGUAGAAGGUAGGAGAGGAGAUGAGAGAGAAGUAGAAGGUAGGAGAGGAGAGGAGAGAUAAGUAGAGGGGAAAGGAAGAGAGGGAGAGGAGAG
rnacentral:lncRNA from 1 species